GGAGUGAGAACCAUCCCUGCAGCCCCCCAGGUGAGGACAGCAGGAGGGCAGGAGGUGCUCCAGGCAGGCAGCAGCAGUUCCCCUGCGGGCUGUGCAGGGAGAGGCCCCUGGUGGAGCAGGCUGUCCCCCUGCAGCCCAUGGGUCCCACAUGGAGCAGAUCUCCACGCUGCGGCCCCCCCCGUGGGUGGAGGAGCCCCCGGUGGAGCAGGUGGAUGUGGCCUGGAGGAGGCUGCGGCCCAUGGAGAGCACCCUCAUCUCUGCUGGGACCUCAGAGGUUCAGUGGACACCAGCAGGUGUGGUGGCACUCAUGUAGUUCUGGUUCCCAUCAUGAUGACUGAGCUGAGGCUCUCGUCCUCAACAUGGCAUUUAAUUCUGGACCGUCCAUCAGUGUCAUCCAUCAGAUAUUAUUCCCUGCUGUUCAUGGAAGAUUGGCACCCUCACUUCCACAGUGCUCCCCUCCUCCACCACCAUCACUUCAUACGUGUGUGCUCUGUGCAGGACCCUUCCCAGCGCAUCUCUGAUCUCUUUCAAGUGACCCCAGCAGAAAAGGCCCUUGCCUCACACGGCUCUCAGCGCCCUACAGGACACUGACCAAACUGAGCCACCGCACACUCCUGGCCGCUCCUUCCCAACACGCUGCCGGACAUUUGUCCACACUCUCCAGGACAGGUAACAUCAGCCCGACCCACACCCUGCCACGCUCCCAUAGCAAGCAGCCAGGUGACACGCUCAGGCCAGGAUGGCAGGGACAGCUCCAUCAGGAAGACAGGACACGGACAGCCUCGGUGCGACGCUAGAGACCCUCGGGCAGAGAGGCAGGGGCUGCCCGUGGUCACAGGGGGAUGCUGCUCCGUGUGUUCCUUCUCUCAUUAAAGCCAGACUCAGACAGCAAUGGGACCAGAUCACAGCAGACUCCUGCGCUCUCCCCAAGGACUACUCUGCUGGAAGGAAGAGCUGCCAAC
rnacentral:lncRNA from 1 species